AUGAACGCUAGCUACAGGCUUAACACAUGCAAGUCGAGGGGCAUCAUGCUUAUAGCAAUAUAAGUGAUGGCGACCGGCGCACGGGUGAGUAACACGUAUCCAACCUGCCGAUAACUCGGGGAUAGCCUUUCGAAAGAAAGAUUAAUACCCGAUGGCAUAAUAGAACCGCGUGGUUUGAUUAUUAAAGAAUUUCGGUUAUCGAUGGGGAUGCGUUCCAUUAGGCAGUUGGUGGGGUAACGGCCCACCAAACCUUCGAUGGAUAGGGGUUCUGAGAGGAAGGUCCCCCACAUUGGAACUGAGACACGGUCCAAACUCCUACGGGAGGCAGCAGUGAGGAAUAUUGGUCAAUGGACGAGAGUCUGAACCAGCCAAGUAGCGUGAAGGAUGACUGCCCUAUGGGUUGUAAACUUCUUUUAUAUGGGAAUAAAGGGGUCCACGUGUGGAUUUUUGUAUGUACCAUAUGAAUAAGGAUCGGCUAACUCCGUGCCAGCAGCCGCGGUAAUACGGAGGAUCCGAGCGUUAUCCGGAUUUAUUGGGUUUAAAGGGAGCGUAGGUGGACAGUUAAGUCAGUUGUGAAAGUUUGCGGCUCAACCGUAAAAUUGCAGUUGAUACUGGCUGUCUUGAGUACAGUAGAGGUGGGCGGAAUUCGUGGUGUAGCGGUGAAAUGCUUAGAUAUCACGAAGAACUCCGAUUGCGAAGGCAGCUCACUGGACUGCAACUGACACUGAUGCUCGAAAGUGUGGGUAUCAAACAGGAUUAGAUACCCUGGUAGUCCACACAGUAAACGAUGAAUACUCGCUGUUUGCGAUAUACAGUAAGCGGCCAAGCGAAAGCAUUAAGUAUUCCACCUGGGGAGUACGCCGGCAACGGUGAAACUCAAAGGAAUUGACGGGGGCCCGCACAAGCGGUGGAGCAUGUGGUUUAAUUCGAAGCAACGCGAAGAACCUUACCAGGUCUUGACAUCCCGAUGCUAUUUCUAGAGAUAGAAAGUUACUUCGGUACAUCGGUGACAGGUGGUGCAUGGUUGUCGUCAGCUCGUGUCGUGAGAUGUUGGGUUAAGUCCCGCAACGAGCGCAACCCUUAUCUUUAGUUACUAACAGGUCAUGCUGAGGACUCUAGAGAGACUGCCGUCGUAAGAUGUGAGGAAGGUGGGGAUGACGUCAAAUCAGCACGGCCCUUACGUCCGGGGCUACACACGUGUUACAAUGGGGGGUACAGAAGGCCGCUACCUGGUGACAGGAUGCUAAUCCCAAAAGCCUCUCUCAGUUCGGAUCGAAGUCUGCAACCCGACUUCGUGAAGCUGGAUUCGCUAGUAAUCGCGCAUCAGCCAUGGCGCGGUGAAUACGUUCCCGGGCCUUGUACACACCGCCCGUCAAGCCAUGAAAGCCGGGGGUACCUGAAGUACGUAACCGCAAGGAGCGUCCUAGGGUAAAACUGGUAAUUGGGGCU
rnacentral:rRNA from 1 species